AAGCAAGUCACACUCUGCAGGGCUGGGCUGACGGAGGAAAUGCUGUCGGCCCGGUUGGAUCCUGUGUCAGCAGAGGAGGCCAGAGGGGAUGGUCUAGGUCCGGAGUCUCCCCUGGAGUUUCUUCUUCCAGGGAGGAUGAAGAGUGGGGGAUACCCUGCCACCCAGACUUCCUCCUCAUGGUUUCACGGCGACAGGAGGAAUGCCCAGUGAGACAGAACCCCUUCCUGUUUCCUGCAAGUGAAGAUGCAGGACUCUCAGCACCCUGUCUGCCUGCGCGCCACCAUGUGACGAUGAUGGACUAAGACCUCUGAAAAUGUGAGCCACCCCAGCUAAUGUUUUCCUUUACAAGAGUUGCUGUGGUCAUGCAUCUCUUCACAGCAAAGGAAGCGCUAAAAACAGAAGACUGUAAAACAGUGUGGGAUUCAGUAGCAUUUCCUGUGUCUCUACUUCUCUUCCAGAAAGCCCAGAGCCGGCUAGGAGAAAAGUGUGGGUGUCAGGGAGGAAAGCAAGGCUUCAUCCGCUGAGGAUCGGGACACAGAAGCUAACACCAGACAGUCUGGGGACCUAGAGACAGGCCUGCUGAGGUGAGACAAAGCACUCACUAGAAACUGAACGCCCCACAUGCAGACAGAUGCUCAAGGGGAGCCUUUAGACCACUCUGGCAUCCGACAAAGACCUAUGCUCUGGGAGGCAGAGCCAAUUUCUGACCGUAUCAAUCCCAGCCUUGGGAUGGGUCUGAGCCACAGCCUUCCUCCAUCUGAGACCAUGUAGACCUCCGUGAGACUCAGAUGUGACCCAUUUGAACACAGUGUUGGCAGCCAAAGGAUCUUUUCCAGCUUCCACUUCUCUACCUUGGACAUCACAGCUCUGUCAAGCCAGGACUCACAGUCGAGACGCCACCUGAGCUCCAGUGCGACAGAUGAAUGAAUGCCUUGGACCACAUCAUCACCAGCUAUGUGGGGCUGGAGAGCCUUUCUAAGACAGUGCAGGCUCUUGGAGCUGGGAGACUUAGGUAUAACCUACUUAGCAACCACCUGUGUGGCCAAAGGGCUGCCUGUUGCCAACGCAUCUCUUGCCUCAGUGGUAUAAAAGGGGCAUAGCCAGGGUUAGGACAGAAAAAUGAGUGUCAGCUUGCCCGUGGAAUUUGGUGUUGGACCAGCAAAAGCUAACAGUGGAAAGACUAUAAUGCCCGCCCCCCAUUGCCAACUCUGCCUCUAGAUGUGGCUCUAGUACUGACACCUGGCUACAGCCUGUCAACUCCUGUCCUAAUGAGUAUCAACUGUCACUGGAUACAACCAGCCCCAGCUCCACUGAAACUAUAGGUAGACACAUGGGGCAUGGUCAUAGCCCCGUUUCGUACUGGUUCUAGUGGGUUGUCAGCUCAGGGUGUGACACAACUGGAUAUCACUGAUGUGAGCAGGUGCUGUGGGAUAGCUGUACUCUGUGAAGGUGCAUUGCUGUGAUUGGUUCACUAAAGAAGAGCGGAGUGGCCAAUAGACAGGCAGGCAAAGGUUGGGCAGGACUUCCGGAGACAGAGAGGAGUCUGGGAAGAAGAAAGGGGAAGUCAUCGGACAAACGUGGAGAGGAGACAGGCAGUGCAAGACAGAAGAGGAGCAGCCCCACAUAGCAGAACAUAGCUUUUAAGAGCUAGUUGAGACAAGCCUGAGCUAAAGGACAAGCUCACAUAACUAAUAAUAGGUUCCCAGGUCAUUAUUUGGGAGCUGGCUGGUGGGAGAGAAAAAGACUUCCUCUAUUUGGCGUCCAAAACGUGGCACACACACAGAGCCAACUAUUUGCAGCAUACAGAGGCCAGGCUCAUUUAAGAGGCCUUGCUACAAGCUGCCAAUACACUACUCCGCAGCAGGAGAUUAGAUGGAAACACUUGCUACUGCUCAGGGACACAGGUGCUUCCCAGAGCUGGGAUGGUCAGAGACAGACAGCAGGGACAGUUAGGCAGACCUGAAGGGAGCUGAUCCAGCCACAGUGCCCUAAGUCAAAGCCAGGUGGCAGAGGGCCUAGCCAGAGAGCCUAAGAUUUGUCUCACACAGUAAGAGAACCUGCAGGCACUUAGUGAAGUCAGGUCUAGACUAAAAAAGAAAUCUCAAACAAACACAAUAUGUCUGAGUAGGCUUAGGCACUGAAAAAAAAAGAAAAUGGGUAAGGAUAGUCAUAGGAAAAAAAACCUUAGAAAUAACAAAGUCUUUAAAUAAAAAAAUAAAGCAAUAUGAAAAUAAUCAGCCAUGUAAAGAUAGAAAAUACAUAGGGUGUCUAGAUCCUGUAUGAUGCCUGGUUGGCUUUGAUUUUUUAUAUGCUAAUGAGCAAAAAACCAAUAGCUGCUGAGAGACACUGAAUUAUGGAAACUGCUGAAUUGAACCGACCUAUAUAUUUUAAGAGUGUAUUAACUUCAGACUGGAAGUCAGAAAAUACGUUGCAUUGGGGGAGAGGUUUUGCCUUCAUUUCCACAGGAAACAAACAAAAAAAAGGUUAUGGUUCUUUUCAAAAUUAAUGAAGAUCAGAUUUGUUCGGGGGAGACCUCCUCAGGAUCUUGGCUGUGGAAAUGAAGGGAAAAAGCCAAGAAAGACUAUAGGGCAGGUGGUGUAUAUGUUGGUCCAUCAACAUGGGAACAACUCUGAGAUUAGGUGAGGCUUGGUAAAUCUUGUUGGCUAUAGAGUCCUCACAACUUAUUAUUACAUGUCAUUCUUUCAUCUGGCAUGGAUAGAGGUUUGGUUAUACAUUCCAAACAAAUUUAUAAAGUUAACAAAUGCCUUUUACCUGCUCAAACAUAAGACAAAAACAAAACAUCUUUGACUGACUUGCGCACAGUGUACAUGUCAUACCUGUGUUAAUGUAGAUAUAUAUGUUACCCUUAAAAGUUUGUGUGUUUUCAGAAAAAAAAGGACCAGACACUGAUGAAGACAAGUAGCCCAGGCAAUCCACCCUCUCAGAAUGCCUCUGUUGCAGUUUCCUCAGAAAUCUACAUCCAGAACAGCUUCAAAGGUGCUGAGAUGGUCCAGCCACAGAUUUCUCCAGCCAGGAAUUCAGAUAAGCCCUGCACUUUCCUAUCACACAAACACUGGAUGACAAAUGAUACUUGACUAUUAUCCCAACUUUCUCAGGGUCCCCCAAAGAUGCUGGUGCCUCCAGCCAACAGGAAGCAGUCUAGAGAACACAAUGGCCCCAUUCCCAAGAGGUGGGGUGGAUGUUAGUCAUCAUUUAGGGGGCUUGAUUACAGGUUGUUACUGGUAAUGGUCAGUAAACAAAGGAGAUUAGAUUCGGGGAUCUCUUUCUGAAGGGAAAAGGGGGUGUAUAGAAUAAAAAUGAUGGGAUAAAA